CGCUCACCACUUUGUGGUUCAUGACUGGGGUGAAGUCGUAACAAGGUAGCGCUAGGGGAACCUGGCGCUGGAUCACCUCCUUAUACGAUGAU
rnacentral:rRNA from 1 species